rnacentral:miRNA from 1 species
GUAGGCUGGUGACGAGGAGAG